AACCGAUUCGCGAGCGCGACACUCCUCUAACUUCAUUCCUACUUCUCUCCGUGAUUCUAUAGUCUGAACCUAGCUAUCGGGCACCGUUCUUCAUAGCACAACACCUCCGCCAAUCCUCCCUUUCGCCGGAUGGCACCCUCCUCGCCGGACCUCCUCCACGGAUCCGCAGGCCGUAGAUGCAUAGGGGGUGUGACGAUGACUCGGUGCAGCGGUGCUGCCGCGACAACUGGAAGGAGGCCGACAUCUCGGCCUUAUGCUUUGUUUAGUCCACAAUAAAAACUAUUUUUUUUUCAAAAUUUCUCGUUACAUCGAAUCUUACAGUACAUGUAUGAAGUACUAAAUAUAGAUGAAAACAAAAAAUAAUUGCACAGUUUAACUAUAAAUCAUAAAACAAAUCUUUUAAAUCUAGUUAGUCUAUGAUUAAACAAUAAUUAAAAAAAGAAAUAACUAAAUAAAAAAUUUGAAACUAAACAAGGCCAGCAUCUCCAAUUGUUUGGAAAAAUGACUUGCUAUCCUUGUUUAUUUAGAAAAAGAAGAAAAAUCCUUCUCCAACAGAUUGGAAUAGGACUUGCUAAAUUUUUGCAAGUUGGAAAACAUCGGGAUCGGGGCGUGGCUUGGUAUCCCGAGCCGCGAGUGAGUUUUCCCCGCGCCGCCACUUCUCCCACGUCGAACGUGAAAGUUCUGUCGCCCGAUCCUUCGUCGCUAUCCUUCGUCAUUGCCUCCGCGCGCCAUCCUCUCUCGGCCUUCAUCGACCGGCCGCGCCUGUGUUCCGGUGCCC
rnacentral:lncRNA from 1 species